rnacentral:lncRNA from 1 species
CUCUUCACACGUUACUCACACACAUACAUCCUUCUCAUAUCCUUUCAUAUAUCCAACAUGAAGAAAUAUUCAAAUCCUAAUUCUAUGCCAUACAAUCAAAGAAAAUCACAAGUAGGGGGAAAAAAAAGAAAGAAGAAAAAGGAGAAGGAGUAGAAAGGGGCAGGGAAAAAAAUGGCAAAGUGUGUGGGUUAUGGUGGCAAACAGGAUGUAAUAAAGAAGGAAGAAUCAUUGCCUUUGCUCUAUCCUCUCAUAGCUUUGUCUGCAGUGAUAUAUGGCAUUUCAGACACAGCCAGCACCUUUGGGACAUGAAGAGUUAGAACACUAAUAAUGCUGAACAUUUUUGAGUACCUUUUGUUUAUCAAGUGCUGAGCAAAAGCCUGGGAUUCCACAGAACCUCGAGAGGCCAAGCCCCAGGAUAAGACUUAAGGUACCACAGAUCUGGCAACAUCAAAGAAAGCGAUCUAGAAACAUGAUAUUUACUGUACAUCUCCAAGGAGCAGCAAAGCACAGGGGUCAGGAGGUCAGACUCUGGAACCAGACUCACACUAGAACCCUCGGGGACUAUGACUGCCGACCCACUAAAUUCUGUUCCUGGUUACAAUUCCACGGGGAACUCUCACCCUUUCUGGGACUCUUCAGAUCAACACACCAUAUGAUGAAACUGUUUCUUGUGUUUCAAAUGAACAAGAAGAAGAGAAAGGAUUCCAUAUGUUGAGGAAUAUCACAUAAGUGGGAAACCACAGUCCAGGUCCCACCACCCCUUUCUCUUAAUAACAAAAUACA